GAUGAACGCUGGCGGCGUGCCUAAUACAUGCAAGUCGAGCGAACGGACGAGAAGCUUGCUUCUCUGAUGUUAGCGGCGGACGGGUGAGUAACACGUGGAUAACCUACCUAUAAGACUGGGAUAACUUCGGGAAACCGUAGCUAAUACCGGAUAAUAUUUUGAACCGCAUGGUUCAAAAGUGAAAGACGGUCUUGCUGUCACUUAUAGAUGGAUCCGCGCUGCAUUAGCUAGUUGGUAAGGUAACGGCUUACCAAGGCAACGAUGCAUAGCCGACCUGAGAGGGUGAUCGGCCACACUGGAACUGAGACACGGUCCAGACUCCUACGGGAGGCAGCAGUAGGGAAUCUUCCGCAAAGGGCGAAAGCCUGACGGAGCAACGCCGCGUGAGUGAUGAAGGUCUUCGGAUCGUAAAACUCUGUUAUUAGGGAAGAACAUAUGUGUAAGUAACCGUGCACAUCUUGACGGUACCUAAUCAGAAAGCCACGGCUAACUACGUG
rnacentral:rRNA from 1 species